rfam:Fukomys damarensis contig88665, whole genome shotgun sequence.
GUGCUCACUUUGGCAGCACAAAUACUAAAAUAAGAAUGAUACAGAGAAAAUUAGCACGGCCCCUGCACAUUGUAAAUGUACUGUAUACUUAAAAAGUACCAAUACACUU